rnacentral:rRNA from 1 species
UACGGAGGGUGCGAACGAUAAUCGGAAUUACUGGGCGUAAAGCGCACGUAGGCGGUUUGGUAAGUGGGGUGUGAAAUCCCUUGGCUUAACCAAGGAAGGGCAUUUGAAACUGCCCGGCUUGAGUACGGGAGGGGGAAGUGGAAUUCCCGGUGUAGAGGUGAAAUUCGUAGAUAUCGGGAGGAACACCGGUGGCGAAGGCGGCUUCCUGGACCGAUACUGACGCUGAGACGCGAAAGCGUGGGGAGCAAACAGG